CGGCAGAGGCGGCGGCAGCGGAGGAGGAGGAAUUAGAGAAGAUGAAGCCGCAGACGCGUUAUUUCCACGUAACAAAAGGUCGAGUCGAGGAUACAGCGGCCACGAAGAAGCAUCAGCAGCAGUAGCAGAUUCCGAUCGGGAUCCAAUAUUGGCGGUUAAUUUCAUCUAAAUGUUCCUGUCUUUAGGACUCUUAAGCCCAUUUGCUUGCGGCCAUGAACACUUUGUUGAAUUUAUCAAUCUUUUCAACCAUUGCGUCUCCAACAGUAUAAAGGAUCAAGUCACGGUAGUAACGUUGCGAGGCACAAAUACAAGGUUGUAUGAAUCUUUAUUCUAGAUGGUUGACGUAAAUACUUUUCGCAGUUCCCAUAAUCUUUUUACAUACUCUUUGUGGAUUUAUAUAUAAGGGGAUCAAGACUGUUGAAGUGUGAAUAUAGCAGUUGCAUAUUAACAUCUUAUCUAAUUCCUCUCGAUGAAAUAACUCUCUUGUUGUCUCGUAUAAAGGUUCUUAUGCAAAUUUUGUCUUGAAUCGAACGACUUUUGCAAUGCUUUAUAACCUAAGAGAUAAGACAUAAUGGCACGAAAUUGGACAACCAUACUCUUAAACAAUACAAGGCAAUCAAAAGAGAACAUAUAGAGAAGAAGCUUAAAGAUAUGUCCGAUGUACAUUCUUCGUAAAAUGAUCGGAAUGCUCUUAGUGGUGAAAAGAAGUGAGUUAUAUGUCGAAGUUAAAUAAUGCUUCAUGAAAUUAUAGGUUCAUAAUAUAAAUCUAGAGUUCCCCAAGUGACUUUCUUCUUUAAUUUUUAGGGCAUUGAAUCUUAAAUUUCUGGUAAUGAUUUAUUUCAAAUUCAAUGGUUAAAUUCUUUGUAUGUUCAAUUUUUCGCUUCCCCUACAAUUUACUUAUUUCUUAAAUAUUUUUCAUCCAUCCUUUAGCCUUAGAUUUUUAUAUAUCAAGUUUUGCAAAGUUCCGAGCUUGUAUUUUUAUUUCUUUGAGAAAUGAAUGAAAGAUGUUUUUAGUUUUUCAAAAGCAUACUUUAGUUAAUUUUCCUAAUCAAGUAUUCGAAAAAUAUUAUUUUCUAAAUUUCAAGUAGUUCCGUGACCGCGCGAAGAGCGAGUAAAUUCACUAGUUAAAGCAUAAAUCAGACAAAAAACACUGUAAACUGAAAACGCUAUAUUGAGAAGAAAAAAAUUUGGGAUCCAAUUCACUAAUCUCUGUGCUGGUCCUCUCUAAAGCAAUUGAGUUUCCAUAAAACUCUAUGGAACUAAAAGAUAUCUUUUAUUAUUUUAUCAUUUUUCAUUUUGUCCUAAUUCCUAAGAGUGGUAGUGUAUUUGUGGCCUAUGAAAGGUAAAAGAGAAAAACUGAAAGAGGUAAGUAUGGAAAUUUUAGCCGUUUGGACAACCUUUAGGAAAAGUAUUUUGAGAAUUUUGUUUGGACAAUUCAAAGUUUUUGACAGAUGUGUGAGUAUUAUGUGAGGGAAGUAAAAACUUUUCACUGAAAAAUAUUGUGGAAAAAGCUAUAAACUUUUCAGACAACAUGAGAUGGGAGUAAUAAGAAUUUUCAAAGAUUGAGAAAACUUCUGAAAAACAAUCUCUAGAAUAAUACAAAAAGAUUAUCUAAUGAGCUCCUACACAAUUUAGGUUUGAUAUCCCUUUCAUUUUUUUUUUCCUUUUAAAAGUUUUUUGCACUCUCCUCAAUGAUUUUCUCUUCCUUUUGCCCACUGGCCAAUGCGCUUUCGUCAUUCCAACUUAUUAGCUGCUCCUUUUUUACUUUUAGGGCCCUUUCCACUCUCCUUUUCAACCUUUUUGCUAAUUCUCCACCGUUUUGCUGACUUUUCACGUAC